GCCGAGGUGGUGGAAUUGGUAGACACGCCGGACUUAAAAUCCGGUUGGGGUUAUUCUCAGUGCGGGUUCAAGUCCCGCCCUCGGUA
rnacentral:tRNA from 1 species